rnacentral:rRNA from 1 species
AGAGAGAGACAUGCGCGCAUAUCAAUAAGCGGAGGAAAAGAAACUAACAAGGAUUCCCCUAGUAACGGCGAGUGAAGCGGGAAGAGCUCAAAUUUGAAAUCUUAAAGGGUUUCCCUUUACGAAUUGUAGUUUAAAGAAGUGUUUUCUGUUGAGGUUUUGGUAAAAGUUCUUUGGAAUAGGACAUCAUAGAGGGUGAGAAUCCCGUAUUUGACCUUUACUUUCAACCUUGUGAUACACUUUCAAAGAGUCGGAUUGUUUGGGAAUGCAGUCCAAAAUGGGUGGUAAAUUUCAUCUAAAGCUAAAUAUUGGCGAGAGACCGAUAGCGAACAAGUACCGUGAGGGAAAGAUGAAAAGAACUUUGAAAAGAGAGUUAAACAGUACGUGAAAUUGUCAAAAGGGAAGCGUUUGACACCAGUGUUGUUUUUCUGAAAAUCAAUUAAAGAACUGUUUAUGCUAAGUUGUUUAGACUUUAUCAGCUAACUGUUUAGUUUUGAGCUUUUCUUUAAUGCACUUUUCAGUUAACAAGUCAACAUCAAUUUCUUUUGCUGUAAAAAAGCUUGAGGAAGGUGGCUUGAGAUUCGUCUUAAGUGUUUAUAGCCUCUUGCCUAUGCAGUCGGAGAGAUUGAGGUCUGCAGCGUAGAUCCUUCGGGGCUAAAUGCAUUUGUGCUAAGUUAUAGCAUUUUAUAGACAACUUGUUGACUAUGAUUUGUCUUGUAGCUUACUCGCUUAUGUUAUUUUACCUACGCUUAGGAUGUUGAGCGCAUGUCUCUCUCU